rnacentral:rRNA from 1 species
GAUGAACGCUGGCGGCGUGCUUAACACAUGCAAGUCGAACGAAGCACUUUAUUUGAUUUCCUUCGGGACUGAUUAUUUUGUGACUGAGUGGCGGACGGGUGAGUAACGCGUGGGUAACCUGCCUUGUACAGGGGGAUAACAGUUGGAAACGGCUGCUAAUACCGCAUAAGCGCACGGCAUCGCAUGAUGCAGUGUGAAAAACUCCGGUGGUAUAAGAUGGACCCGCGUUGGAUUAGCUAGUUGGUGAGGUAACGGCCCACCAAGGCGACGAUCCAUAGCCGACCAGAGAGGGAGACCGGACACAUUGGGACUGAGACACGGCGCAAACUCCUACGGGAGGCAGCAGUGGGGAAUAUUGCACAAUGGGCGAAAGCCUGAUGCAGCGACGCCGCGUGAGCGAAGAAGUAUUGCGGGAAGUAAAGCACUAUAAGCAGGGAAGAUAAUGACGGUACCUGAAGAAGAAGCACCGGCUAAAUACGUG